rnacentral:rRNA from 1 species
ACUCCUACGGGAGGCAGCAGUGGGGAAUAUUGCACAAUGGGCGCAAGCCUGAUGCAGCAACGCCGUGUGAGUGAAGAAGGUUUUCGGAUCGUAAAACUCUGUCCUAAGGGAAGAAACAAAUGACGGUACCUUAGGAGGAAGCCCCGGCUAACUACGUGCCAGCAGCCGCGGUAAUACGUAGGGGGCAAGCGUUAUCCGGAAUCACUGGGCGUAAAGGGUGCGUAGGCGGCUUAGCAAGCCAGGGGUGAAAGGCAUUGGCUCAACCAAUGUAAGCCUUUGGAACUGUUAAGCUUGAGUGCAGGAGAGGUAAGUGGAAUUCCUAGUGUAGAGGUGAAAUUCGUAGAUAUUAGGAGGAACACCAGUGGCGAAGGCGACUUACUGGACUGUAACUGACGCUGAUGCACGAAAGCGUGGGUAGCGAACAGGAUUAGAUACCCUGGGAGCACAAG